rnacentral:rRNA from 1 species
AUUGAACGCUGGCGGCAGGCCUAACACAUGCAAGUCGAGCGGAUGAGGAGAGCUUGCUCUCUGAUUUAGCGGCGGACGGGUGAGUAAUGCCUAGGAAUCUGCCUGGUAGUGGGGGAUAACGUUCCGAAAGGAACGCUAAUACCGCAUACGUCCUACGGGAGAAAGCAGGGGACCUUCGGGCCUUGCGCUAUCAGAUGAGCCUAGGUCGGAUUAGCUAGUUGGUGAGGUAUGGCUCACCAAGGCGACGAUCCGUAACUGGUCUGAGAGGAUGAUCAGUCACACUGGAACUGAGACACGGUCCAGACUCCUACGGGAGGCAGCAGUGGGAAAUAUUGGACAAUGGGCGAAAGCCUGAUCCAGCCAUGCCGCGUGUGUGAAGAAGGUCUUCGGAUUGUAAAGCACUUUAAGUUGGGAGGAAGGGCAGUAAGUUAAUACCUUGCUGUUUUGACGUUACCGACAGAAUAAGCACCGGCUAACUUCGUGCCAGCCGCCGCAGUAAGAC